AGGCCAAAUUGGUUGCGCUCUUGGCAUCCUUCAUUUUGCGCAAACACUUGGAGAAACCUCCAUUUGAAAAAGCUGCAAUUAAGACGCUUGAAAGUAUUUCAGAAUUGGAACACUUCAUCACUAAGCAUCGGAAAGAUUAUGUGGAUCUGCAUCGAAUCACUGAACAGGAGAGGGACAACAUUGAACAUGAAGUACUUGAUCCAACCAUGAGGCCGAGUAUAAAAGAGCUUUAAAAGGCUUCGAAUCGAGUGUUUCUAAACAUGUAACCAUUAUCGGUU